CCUACGGGCGGCACCAGUGGGGAAUAUUGCACAAUGGGCGCAAGCCUGAUGCAGCCAUGCCGCGUGUAUGAAGAAGGCCUUCGGGUUGUAAAGUACUUUCAGCGAGGAGGAAGGCAUUAAGGUUGAUAACCUUGGUGAUUGACGUUACUCGCAGAAGAAGCACCGGCUAACUCCGUGCCAGCAGCCGCGGUAAUACGGAGGGUGCAAGCGUUAAUCGGAAUUACUGGGCGUAAAGCGCACGCAGGCGGUCUGUCAAGUCGGAUGUGAGAUCCCCGGGCUCAACCUGGGAACUGCAUUCGAAACUGGCAGGCUAGAGUCUUGUAGAGGGGGGUAGAAUUCCAGGUGUAGCGGUGAAAUGCGUAGAGAUCUGGAGGAAUACCGGUGGCGAAGGCGGCCCCCUGGACAAAGACUGACGCUCAGGUGCGAAAGCGUGGGGAGCAAACAGGAUUAGAUACCCCUGUAGUC
rnacentral:rRNA from 1 species